rnacentral:lncRNA from 1 species
UAAUAACUCUGAGAAUUUGUUGUGUAGUUAUAAGUGUAAUUCCUUGUUGGACUCGGAGUAGAAAUGAUGAUCGACACUGCUGAAAUUUGUUCACAUAUCUUUACUAGUUACGGUGUGGGAUUUGUGUUUAUUUCCUUCAUAACGUUGCUACUCGCAGCUAAUUUUAUGAAACGUCAUGACAGCUAAGCUGUUCUCCGCCAAGACAUUUUUCAAAUGAUCAGACUGACCUCGUUAAUUUUCUGUUUCUUUUUUUGACAUAACGACAUUUAAUAUUCUUUGAAUUUCUAAUUAUUCUCUUGAACUCAAUCAAGGAAUACUAAAACCAAACACAGAGGCUAUGAUUCUUCCUUUGUUUUAUAAAUUAUAACAAAGGAAAACGUGGUUCACAAAAAUUAAUCAAUUGAUUUGUUUUGUUAUCAUUAUUAAUUUCUUAAUUAAUACUAGUGUACAAGUGUCCUGCUUCUGGAGGGAAGCAUGACAGCAUUACAAAGGGUCUGGAUGUGAGCUUUCCCAAAUUCCUUAUAAAAGAAACCAAAAAAAUAACCAACCAGCUUAGGACCAUGCCAAGAGAUACAAUUGACUAGACACCAACAGCAAAUUCACAAUUAUGUAGUUUGCAUUUUAAAGUGACUGAUUUUAUCAUUGAAUAAGUAGAUAAAUCCUGUAAUAAAGGAAAACCACUCUAACUAAGUAAUCAAUGAUACUUAUAAAUGAUACAUAGGUGUGCGCGUCUAAAACUGAACACUC